rnacentral:rRNA from 1 species
CGCCUCAAGAUGAUACUUCCUUUAAGGGUCGUCAGAGACUAUGACGUUGAUAGGUUGCAAGUGUAAAGUCAGUAAUGACAAAGCUGAGCAAUACUAAUUGCCCGUAAACUUUUUAUC